UGCGUAGGCGGCGCGGAAAGUUGGGUGUGAAAUCCCUCGGCUCAACCGAGGAAUUGCGCCCAAAACUUCCGUGCUCGAGGAAGAUAGAGGUGAGCGGAACUUAGGGUGGAGCGGUGAAAUGCGUUGAUAUCCUAAGGAACACCGGUGGCGAAAGCGGCUCACUGGAUCUUUUCUGACGCUGAGGCACGAAAGCUAGGGUAGCGAAG
rnacentral:rRNA from 1 species